UACGUAGGGUGCAAGCGUUACUCGGAAUUACUGGGCGUAAAGCGUGCGCAGGCGGUUUUGUAAGUCUGACGUGAAAUCCCCGGGCUUAACCUGGGAAUUGCGUUGGAGACUGCAAGGCUGGAGUCUGGCAGAGGGGGGUAGAAUUCCACGUGUAGCAGUGAAAUGCGUAGAGAUGUGGAGGAACACCGAUGGCGAAGGCAGCCCCCUGGGUCAAGACUGACGCUCAUGCACGAAAGCGUGGGGAGCAAACAGG
rnacentral:rRNA from 1 species